GGUCCUACGGGACGCAGCAGUGGGGAAUAUUGGGCAAUGGGCGCAAGCCUGACCCAGCAACGCCGCGUGAAGGAAGAAGGCUUUCGGGUUGUAAACUGCUUUAGACAGGGAAGAAAGAAAUGACGGUACCUGUAGAAUAAGCUCCGGCUAACUACGUGCCAGCAGCCGCGGUAAUACGUAGGGAGCAAGCGUUAUCCGGAUUUAUUGGGUGUAAAGGGUGCGUAGACGGGUAUACAAGUUAGUAGUGAAAUCCCUCGGCUUAACUGAGGAACUGCUACUAAAACUAUAUAUCUUGAGUACUGGAG
rnacentral:rRNA from 1 species